rnacentral:lncRNA from 10 species
AGACGCUGCAGCGAUGCCUCGCCCACGGCGGGUCAGUCAGCUCCUGGAUCUUGAUGCUUAGGAAAGAUUUUAUAUCAUUAAAAAGAAAUUGGGAGGUCACUUCCAAGAUGGCUAAAUGGGAACAGCUCCAGUCUGCAGCUCCCAGCAAGAUUGACGCAGAAGAUGGGCGAUUUCUGCAUUUCCAACUGAGAUGCUACUGGACUUGAAUGGUUAAUAAAAUUGCACAAUGUUGUUGGUGGCAGUGACUUCUUUCUGUUCAGAUUUUACAUCCUGAAGUCCAAACUCUAGAUCUACGGAGCUGCGAUAUAUCAGAUGCUGCUCUCCUGCACCUGUCUAACUGUAGAAAACUGAAGAAAUUAAAUUUAAAUGCUUCAAAAGGGAACCGAGUUUCUGUAACUUCAGAAGGAAUAAAAGCUGUGGCUUCAUCUUGUUCAUACCUACACGAAGCUUCUUUGAAAAGAUGCUGCAAUCUCACUGACGAAGGAGUCGUUGCUCUUGCACUCAAUUGCCAGCUGCUAAAGAUCAUCGAUUUAGGUGGCUGCUUAAGUAUUACUGAUGUGUCCUUACAUGCAUUAGGAAAAAACUGCCCAUUUUUGCAGUGUGUCGACUUUUCAGCUACUCAGGUAUCUGACAGUGGUGUGAUUGCACUUGUUAGUGGACCUUGUGCGAAGAAAUUAGAGGAGAUUCAUAUGGGACAUUGUGUAAAUCUGACUGAUGGGGCUGUCGAAGCUGUCCUUACUUACUGUCCUCAAAUACGUAUAUUACUCUUCCAUGGAUGCCCCUUGAUAACAGGGUAACACUGGCCUCACAGAAAGAGUUGGAAAGUGUUUCCCCCUUCUUCUAUAGCCACCCAGCUUUGUCAUGGUUGCCAUUUAAAUG